AAAAAAAGGAACCCUGGCCAAUUUUCAGCACUUAUCUCUGCCUUGCAGCCCCACUGCCUGGCUGUCUCAGGGUCAUAUAAGGAUUCGAAGCUUAGGGAACAAGUGGUCUCAAAGCUGCUACCUCUCUGGACAUUCCUAUCAUCAUUUAUUGGUUAUCAUUCAGUUUGGUGGAGCCUAACGUUUGGAUUUUCACCAGUUCAUGGAGGUGCAGGAAGAGCUACUCUUCCAUGAGUUCUCAAAGCAUCCUGCAAAAUUUAAUGCAUUAGCAGACAGCAAAGUUUUUUUGGUAAAAAUCCCUAAGUAAGAAGGAUGCAAACAAUUUUAUAUCACUAUGGAAGAUGGCAGGAGUAGAAGAAAUAGGCUUAACCUGAUGCUUAUCACUGUUAGAAAUUAGAAUGAACUUCUUAAUAGCACAUUACAUAGACUUUUAAAGAAGAAUGGAAUACAUCUGUUUGGGGUAAUUUAUACGAAGUUGUGCCCGAAGGCAAGAGGAAAGACAAGAUCACUUCCCAGUAACCGGCUGAGUUCAUUAGCAACGCCGUCAGAGCAGGCACUGACUCAGAACUGAAACAGGAGAGAAUAUUAUGAAAUCUCAAGUUAGGGAAAAGCUGAUAUCUAUCAGAUAAUAACUCCCAGACUGGCUUCCAGGGAACCACCCUGGCUCCUCUCCUAACUUUCUGGUCUGUAAAAGAGAUACCCAGGAAUCUCUCAGAUGAAAGAAAAAGGCCUCUGUGAAUAACAGCAUCCCCAGUUAAGAGUCAACUGCAGGCCUCCUUGCCGUGCAGAACCCACAAGCCCCACAGAGCCUUCUUGGAAAACCCCUAAUGGAGGUUCCUUAAAAAUAUCGGUGUUCCCGAGUUCCCACCGUGGCUCAGGGGAAACGAAUCUGACUAGCAUCCAUGAGAACACAGGUUGAAUCCCUGGCCUUGCUCAGUGGAUUAAGGAUCUGGCGUUGCUGUGAGCUGUGGUGAAGGUCACAGAUGUGGCUCGGAUCUGGCUUUGCUAUGGCUGUGGCAUACGCCAGCGGGUACAGCUCUGAUUCGACCCCUAGCCUGGGAACCUCCAUUUGCCACGAGGAGAGGCCAUUAAAAAAAAACAAUAACUAAAUAUAGCACUACUAUAUGUUCUAGCAAUCCCACUCCUGGGCAUAUAUCUGGAGAAAACCAAAAUUCAGAGAUAAUGCACCCCAAUGUUCAUUGCAGCACUAUGUACAACAGCCAAAACAUGGAAACAACCUAAACGUCCACUGACAGAAAAAUGGAUAAAGACGUAGUACAUAUACAUACAAUGGAAUAUUACUCAGCCGUAAAAAAAGAACAAAAUAAUGCUAUUUGCAGCAAGAUGGAAGGAUCUAGGGAUUAUCAUGCUGAGUGGUCAGAAAGAGAAAGAUAAAUAUCAUAAGAUAUCACUUACAUGUGGAAUCUAAUAAAAAUGAUACAGAAGAACAUAUUUAUAAAAUAGAAACAAACUCAUAGAUUUCAAAACCAAUCUUAUGGUUACUACAGGUGAAACAGCUGGGGCAAGAGAGAAAUUGGGAGGGUGGAAAUAACAUAUACACACUACUGUAUAAAAUAGAUGAUUAAUGAGAACCUAUUGGAUAGCACAGGAAAAUCUACUCAGUAGUUUGUAAUAACAUAUAUGGGAAAAAAGAAUGGAUAUAUUUAUAUACAUAACUGAUUGACUUUGCUGGAUACCUGAAACUAAUACAAUGUUGUAAGUCAACUAUACUCCAACAAAACAAAAAAAGAAAGAAAAUAGUUUGACAGUAUAAUAAUAAUAAUAAAAAAAUCAACUAAAAACAAAACAAAAAUCCACAAAACAAAACAAAGAUACUUGUGUCUCCUAAGAGGAGCUAUCCAGGUCAAGCUCUGGACCAGCCUCUGCAACCUGUUUUUCUUCAUUUCAUCCUCAGAGUAACUAAAUGAGUGAAGAAUUAUUGCUAUUUUACAGAUUAGGAAACUGAGACCCUGAGAAUUUGAAAUGACUAAUUCUUUAUUAGAAAGUUCAACCACAGUCGUGACUCAGCAGAAACGAAUCUCACUUGCAUCCAUGAGGACAAAGGUUCGAUCCCUGGUCUCGCUUGGUGGGUUAAGGAUCCGGCAUUGCUGUGGCUGUGGUGUAGGCCUGGGGCUACCACUCUGAUUCCACCCGGAGCCUGGGAACCUCCAAAUGCCCCAGGUAAGGCCCUAAAAAGACAGUUUGUAAAUAACCUCUGUUUUAUUAAAAAUAAAGGAAAGGAUGCCCUUACUCUUUCAUUCUUGAGUGGAAAAACUGCGAGGGUGACUUUUUUUUUUUCCUCCAUAAUCUUCACUCCAUUUAAUCUGGUUUGUUUCAACUGGUAGGAAGAGAAAAUGAGGUAGCUAACAGUAAGACUACAGAACACCUACUUUUCACACGCUUAUUAAUGCAUAAGCAACAUCCAUCACAACUAGAGAAAGAUCUCAGGCCUCCCACAUUUCUUCCUCUAAACAAGCAGGAGAAUCGCUGCUGACACUUAGGCUUAAAUCUGGGGACACCAAACACCCCUGCCUGAGGGAGACAUAUCUGAAUGCCCUGGCUGCACACCUGGAAUUGCCAGGGGAGCUUUAGAAACUACUCAUGCCCGAUCCCAUCUGAGGUGAUGAUAAAAGAGCAGCCGAGGCUGAGAACCACAGUCCGAAAGCAACAGAACCAAGAGUUAAACACAAGACAAAAUAAGUGUAUUGAGAAAGAUGAAAAAAGAGAACUGUGUCUCACAGUAAGUUAUGUGGCAAAUGAUUUUAAAAGUGAUCUACACAUUUGCAUUCUAUCCAACUGCCCCAAGAGCAAGCACUCUGGCUGAACCAACCCUGAGUUCCAUCACGGUAACACACAGCUCACUCGGUCUUUCUGAAUCUCUUCUUCCUUGUCUAAAAAAUUAAGUCAAUAAUACCUACCAUGCAGAGUUGUCUUCAAUAUCAAAUGAGAUAACAAGGCACACAAGACACUUAGCAUGCAGCCCUUAAUAAAGGUUUCAGCUUUCUGAAGUUUCUCUCCAUUUGGCUAUUCUAGGCUCCAAACCAUUCAUUUAUUACGUCUGAGUCACCAUUCAUUGCAAAACCUAGGCGUUUCUGUCCUCUAGCACUUUCCCUUAAAAUGAUCUUGAUUCAUAAGACUAUGUGCAGAGUAUUUAUAUUCAUAAUCCAAUUCUCACAUAGUUAAGAGUUCACCUGAAACCACCCUUCUCAAAGAGGAUGGUUCUGUUAAAUAUGGACACCUAAAUAAGAUUUUUGAAUAACUGAGUAAAUGCAUGAGGUUCGCAUAGACACUGAAAUAACUAUUAGUUCCUUUUCUUCAAUAAAUCAAUAAUAAAUACGGGCACCUAUUUGUGAGCACCUAUUAUGUGCCUGGCAUUGUACCAAGCAUUCUAUACACACAGCCUAACUGAACCUCAUUUAAUUCUUAUAAAGCCUCCUCGGGAAAGGAAUUAUUUCGCUCAUUUUAUAGAUGAUGAAAUUGGAUCUCACGGAGGUGAAAUAACUUACACACACACACACACACACACACACACACACACACAGCAAACAGGAACUUUCUAGAGCUUGAACCCAGAUCUCUCAAAAAUUCCAAAGUCAGUCCAUAAUUGUGUCUUGCAGGGUAUAAAACAUUUCCAAUAUAAAGUGUAUAUGUAUGUAUACUUAAUAUACAAAGUAUUCAUAAAGAGCUUUGUGCAUAU
rnacentral:lncRNA from 1 species